GAGUCCUGCGCAACGGAAACUUGUGAACCCCGUCAGGUCCGGAAGGAAGCAGCGGUAAGCAAGCACUUCCGUGUGCCGCAGGGGCGCUUGA
rnacentral:SRP_RNA from 1 species